UACGGGGGGGGCAAGCGUUGUUCGGAAUUACUGGGCGUAAAGGGCUCGUAGGUGGCCAACUAAGUCAGACGUGAAAUCCCUCAGCUUAACUGGGGAAACUGCCUCGGAUACUGUGAGUCUCGAGGGUGGUAGGGGUAUGCGGAACUAUCGGUGGAGCGGUGAAAUGCGUUGAUAUCGAUAGGAACUCCGGUGGCGAAGGCGGCAUACUGGACCACACCUGACGCUGAGGCGCGAAAGCCAGGGGAGCAAACGGG
rnacentral:rRNA from 1 species